rfam:Brassica oleracea var. oleracea cultivar TO1000 chromosome C1, whole genome shotgun sequence
GGCCAGUGAUGCAAGUAAAAUAUUUGCUACUCUUGAUGAAGAAGAACACGUUGUUGUUCUUCAGUUGAUGAUUGGUUAACCACCAAGAUCUCUGAGGCC